GGGGAAUUUUGGACAAUGGGCGAAAGCCUGAUCCAGCAAUGCCGCGUGUGUGAAGAAGGCCUUCGGGUUGUAAAGCACUUUUGUCCGGAAAGAAAUCUCCUGGGCUAAUACCUCGGGGGGAUGACGGUACCGGAAGAAUAAGCACCGGCUAACUACGUGCCAGCAGCCGCGGUAAUACGUAGGGUGCGAGCGUUAAUCGGAAUUACUGGGCGUAAAGCGUGCGUAGGCGGCUGUGCAAGACAGAUGUGAAAUCCCCGGGCUUAACCUGGGAACUGCAUUUGUGACUGCAUGGCUAGAGUGUGUCAGAGGGAGGUGGAAUUCCGCGUGUAGCAGUGAAAUGCGUAGAGAUGCGGAGGAACACCGAUGGCGAAGGCAGCCUCCUGGGAUAACACUGACGCUCAGGCACGAAAGCGUGGGGAGCAAAC
rnacentral:rRNA from 1 species